GUUUUGUCCUGAUUGCGUCGUUGUUCAUCCAAAUUCAAAUCUCAGUUUCUUUUUGAUCUCUCGUCUUUGAUUAGAUUCCAAUCAUGAAUUCGAUUUUUUCCGGUACUCGUCUAAGGUAAUUAGAUCCUCUUCUCCUUUCUUCGUAAUUGUAUUGUAUGAUUCUGAAGUUAUAUAUGUGGAUUUGAAUUUCAGGGACAUGAUCAGAUCACUAAAACAGUAUCCUUUAAUAUAGAUUCUUUCUCAGUGUUAGGGACAUUUGGUUAUCUCGGGCUGAUGUUGCUUCUUGAUGAGAGGCAGGAAGUGUUGAUGCUCGUCACGAAUUCAUUAAAACAAGAUCUUAACCACAGGAACCAGUAUCUUGUAGGGCUCGCACUCUGUGCUUUAGGGAAUAAUUGUUCUGCAGAAAUGGCUCGUGAUCUUGCGCCUGAAGUAGAGAGAUUGAUCCAGAUUCGUGACCAUAACAUCCGUAAGAAGGCGGCACUUUGCUCCUCUAGAUCUUGCAGAGAACUUUGUAAAUGCUGCUUCUUCCUUGCUGAAAGAAAAGCAUCAUGGGGUUCUUAUAACAGGAGUUCAACUUUGUUAUGAACUAUGCACGAUAUUACUAAUAGCGCAUAUCAGCCAGAGUAUGAUGUUGCAGGAAUAACAGAUCCUUUUCUUCACAUACGGUUACUUAAGCUCCUGCGUGUUUUAGGCCAUGGUGACGCUGAUGCCAGUGAUUUGAUGACUGAUAUACUUGCCCAAGUUAGUCGUAAUUUAGCAAGUGAUUUUGGAUAUGGCUCACCAUUUUCACAUUUUCGAUGUAAUUCCCGUGGAACCAUAUAUGCUAAGACUUUCUUUAUAUAUUAAGGACU